CCGCAUAGAGAUUUACAGUUUGUCUUAAACUCCAAACAGUAAAUUUCUUGUAUCUGUAGCUGUUACCGUAUGGCAAACAGUUGCUUUUUUGUUGAAGAAUAUGAGAUUGAACGCAAUCAACUAUAAAUCACGGUCCAUGCAAUCCAUAUCAAGUGGUAACAUUAUAUUAUACUGCCCAGAUAUUGUUGAAUGAUAUGGAGACCGUAGCUCGCAAGUAAUGUAUGUCAAACUGUUCGUGCUUAUUCUGUGCAACACACUUACAUACAUGCGUUUUACUAUAUGCUACUGGUAUUUUACAAUAUGAGAAACAGUGGCACGCAUCGGUAUUCGUGAACCAAUGAAAAUCGACUGGUGGCUUUUAAAACAAAACAAAAAAAAAUGUGGAAGCAGCAAAUCGAAAUUGAAAUUUUGUUUUAGAGCAUUUUUGGUUGAUCUAAUAUCAGUGCACUGGAUCCGAAGUAGCUGUUACAGAAACAGUUUCCACCCAGAGGCGUUCAUCGGCGGCCUACAGUUGGUCACAUUACACGGCAUUGAUCCGGUGACCCCAUCAUCCGGACCGAGAUCUGGACAGUUCGGAAUGAGGCAUGGGGUGCAUCGUUCAAUCAGGGCAAGUCCUGAAGGAGUGCUGUUUACUGUUUAUGCGUUCAACGCUGGGACUGGGACAAUCGAGUGUGGAUGGACUUUCGUCGAUUCGAUUCCCAAUCAAACUUCUUCCAAGCUAGCGGCAAGAGGUGAAGCGGAAAACAAACAACGCAGGAUUUGGAGAAGCAUCUAUGUAUGUGAUGUCUACGCGAUUUCAUGAAUAAAAGUGAUUGAUUCUUUGCUUAAUAUCUAAUUUGUUACUUGUUUCUCUCUCACGGUACUCAUAUCCAAAGAACAGAACGCAAUCAUAUGAUAACAGUACGAUACACAGUUAUUCUACUAUGAAGAACUAUAAAUCACUCGUAAUACAUACAUUGAAGUUUUUCUUCGAUAUUUAUGGUUAAAUUGUUCUCUAACCAUUUGCUAUACAGCGAAACGUCUCGAAAACUGGAUAAUAUAUUGACCAUAUCCUUUACUGUAUUGCGAAAAAUUUGUUCGAGAAAACGAGCGAUUUUUUAUGGUAACCAAUCUUAACCGCCUAUUCCACAUACUGUAAAUUGGCGGAUUACCAUUUGUCAAACUGGCAAAUCUGUACCUGGAAUGGUCAGCUUACUGUUAUCUCCAAUAGAUUGAUAAAUGGUUAAAUGAUAAUUGCUAAUGGUCAUCUACAGUAUGCGAAACGUUGCAUUUACAGUUUGUGAUUAUGCGG